rnacentral:misc_RNA from 1 species
AGGAUUUGCUUGAACAAAGUCUCCCUUUUAUGAGAGAAACAAUGUAUGUAUGACAUUGAUCAAUAAAACAUAAGAAUAGUUAGUUAAUCUUCCAUAAUUCUAGGACAUUUUUCAAAGGAGAAACAGUUCAACCUUCUGCUACUUGGUCCAUGUUUCUUUAUGGAUGUAAUAUUGGAUUCACCCAUAAAGCUAACUCAUGAAGAAUCACCUGGGUGCACACUUUCACCUGAUGGAAGGUUGAUGAGUUGUUCUUCCUUGCUUCAUUCAUGUCUUUGAUAUAUAUAGCUAAGAUGGAAGUAGUUUGGACUUCCAAGCCUUUCCUUCCAGCUCAAACUGCUAACAUCUACAAACUGCAUGGACUUCAUAUUUUCACCAUCACAAUAAGCACGGAACUUAA